AUUGAACGCUGGCGGCAUGCCUUACACAUGCAAGUCGAACGGCAGCACGGGUGCUUGCACCUGGUGGCGAGUGGCGAACGGGUGAGUAAUACAUCGGAACAUGUCCUGUAGUGGGGGAUAGCCCGGCGAAAGCCGGAUUAAUACCGCAUACGAUCUACGGAUGAAAGCGGGGGACCUUCGGGCCUCGCGCUAUCGGGUUGGCCGAUGGCUGAUUAGCUAGUUGGUGGGGUAAAGGCCUACCAAGGCGACGAUCAGUAGCUGGUCUGAGAGGACGACCAGCCACACUGGGACUGAGACACGGCCCAGACUCCUACGGGAGGCAGCAGUGGGGAAUUUUGGACAAUGGGCGAAAGCCUGAUCCAGCAAUGCCGCGUGUGUGAAGAAGGCCUUCAGGUUGUAAAGCACUUUUGUCCGGAAAGAAAUCCUUGGCCCUAAUACGGUCGGGGGAUGACGGUACCGGAAGAAUAAGCACCGGCUAACUACGUG
rnacentral:rRNA from 1 species